UCCGGUUUGUCACCGGCAGUCAUCUUAGAGAGCCCACCAUCAUGUGCUGGCAACUAAGAUCAAGGGUUGCGCUCGUUGCGGGACUUAACCCAACAUCUCACGACACGAGCUGACGACAACCAUGCACCACCUGUCUCCCAUGCUCCGAAGAGGGCAUACAUCUCUGCAUGUUUCAUGGGGAUGUCAAGACCUGGUAAGGUUCUUCGCGUUGCUUCGAAUUAAACCACAUACUCCACUGCUUGUGCGGGUCCCCGUCAAUUCCUUUGAGUUUCAGUCUUGCGACCGUACUCCCCAGGCGGAAUGCUUACUGUGUUAACUUCGGCACCAAGGGUAUCGAAACCCCUAACACCUAGCAUUCAUCGUUUACGGCGUGGACUAC
rnacentral:misc_RNA from 1 species